GCUCGACAAUAAUGACAUUUUCAGGUGAAUUCGUCUUUUUUUUAGUACCUUUGUGUUGAAGCCUUUAUUUUAAUAUUUAUUCUGUUCUAGAGGCAAGAGUUGCUUCUUAUUUGACUCAAGUAGUUCACUUAUCGAUUAAUGUUGCUACUAAGAGUUUUAUUUUGUAUGUUGUGCUUUGGCUUGCAUGUUUUAUUUGAUCUGGCUAUGACUCUUUGUUAUUAUUUGAUAUCGUUACUGGAUUCAAUUUAUUAUCAUUUUAUCAUGAAGUAGUGAUAAGUACUAGUUUGCUUUCAAUACUCUUAGUACCAAUGUUGUUUUUUAUUCAAAUUUUUUGAUAGUUAUGCUUUUGGUAUGGUUAUGGACCGGUGUGCGUGUUUCAGGUAAUAGUGAACAAUCUUACAUAAUGUGCAACAAAGUUAAUAACCCAAGCAUUGCUUUACAUAUUGGGUAAAGCAAGAAUAACUCAUAACAGAAUUUAGAAUGCUACAUGAGUGGGCUAUAUCUUUUUUCUCCCUUUCUGUGAUGAAGUUUGUUGAUUAGCAUUUUAAUGAUUAUAAAAAGGUGGGGAAUUAACAUUUUUUCCUCAAGCCUUUGUUGAUGAUCACUGUGAGGAUAGUUAGCUGGCGACUGUCAGCCACCGGUAAGGCGUCCCCCUGGGGAAGGGGGCAGCGCUGCUAUUCAUAUAGAAUGUGUUAGUCCUUUUUCGUAUUUUCCACUGUACAAUGUGUGG
rnacentral:misc_RNA from 1 species